AAUUCGAUGCAACGCGAAGANCCUUNNCCAAGGCUUGACAUGUUCUCGAUCGCCGUAGAGAUACGGUUUCCCCUUUGGGGUGGGUUCACAGGUGGUGCAUGGUUGUCGUCAGCUCGUGUCGUGAGAUGUUGGGUUAAGUCCCGCAACGAGCGCAACCCUUAAGCUUAGUUGCCAUCAUUAAGUUGGGCACUCUAAGUUGACUGCCGGUGACAAACCGGAGGAAGGUGGGGAUGACGUCAAAUCAUCAUGCCCCUUAUGAUUUGGGCUACACACGUGCUACAAUGGACAAUACAAAGGGUAGCGAAACCGCGAGGUCAAGCAAAUCCCAUAAAGUUGUUCUCAGUUCGGAUUGUAGUCUGCAACUCGACUAUAUGAAGCUGGAAUCGCUAGUAAUCGUAGAUCAGCAUGCUACGGUGAAUACGUUCCCGGGUCUUGUACACNCCGCCCGUCACACCACGAGAGUUUGUAACACCCGAAGCCGGUGGAGUAACCAUUUGGAGC
rnacentral:rRNA from 1 species